GUCUAAGGCCAUACCACCCUGAACGCGCCCGAUCUCGUCUGAUUUCAGAAGCUAAGCAGGGUCGGGCCUGGUUAGUACUUGGAUGGGAGAAUACCAGAAAGAGAAA
rnacentral:rRNA from 1 species